AUUGAACGCUGGCGGCAGGCCUAACACAUGCAAGUCGAGCGAGCGGCGGACGGGUGAGUAAUGUAUGGGGACUGCCCGAUAACGGGGGAUAACUACUGGAAACGGUGGCUAAUACCGCAUACUAUCGGAUAACCCAUAGGGGAUUAGCUAGUAGGUGGGGGAAAGGCUCACCUAGGCGACGAUAUCUAGCUGGUCUGAGAGGAUGAACGGCAACACGGGGCCUGAGACACGGCCCAGACUCCUACGGAGGAAGCAGGGGGGAAUAUUGCACAAUGGGCGCAAGCCUGAUGCAGCCAUGCCGCGUGUAUGAAGAAGGCCUUAGGGUUGUAAAGUACUUUCAGCGGGGAGGCGUUACCCGAAGAAGAAGCAACGGCUAACUCCGUGCCAGCAGCCGCGGUAAUUC
rnacentral:rRNA from 1 species